UAAAAACAUAUGCAUCAUUUAUGCAUCCAACGAAUGGAAAUAAAUCUGAAUUAAUUCAGAGACUGAUCGAUGCCCAAAAGGAUGACGAAAUAUUGCGAAAUAAGAACAGUACUGGAGUCAACGGCAGCAAGCCAAACGUGAAGGAAGAAGUAAAAAAGCAAGAAUACGAAAGCGACAACAAUGUAGUACAGCAAGCCGACGAAAGUACCGACUACGACACAAAGCACGAUAAUGAAACAAACAAUGACAACAUGUUUACAUAACAAAUUCUGAGUAAUUACCAUAGCCAACCUUUAAGCAAAUACAAUGAUAUGAGUGGCAUCGUCAUAGCAAACGAAAAAGACACAAACGAAAAUGAUCAAAGCAACGAUAGUAAGACCAGGGAUGACAAAGAAAAUAAGUUGUCCAACACAGAAACACCGAAACGAGAUAAUACGGAAACUACAACAAGCAACAACAAAAAUAACAUUGUAAAAGCGAAAUCUGAAAAAGAGGAUUUAAUGCUAAGGGAGAUAGAGGUAUUGAAACGAGAACUACAAGCCACAAUGCGCGAAAACGAAAUAUUACAAUUAUUAAUCAACAACAGUGCAGUUUCAGCAUCCUGCAAAAGCAUUCCGUUUACACAACUCAAGGAAUUAGUAUCUGAAUUUGAUCCAAUGGAAGGUGACACAGACAUUCAAUUGUUCAAGCAGCAGAUUUUUUCGGUACGAUCUAUGUAUAAUUUGGACGAAAACAACGUACGUGCACUCAUCGCCAACCGUCUUAAAGGCAAAGCCGUAAAAUGGUUACAAAGCCGAAACGAUUUGAUGACAAUCCCAAUCAACGAAUUGCUCAAUGAGAUGGAAACUAUUUUUCAAAACAGGGAAAGUCUCCUACCACUUAAACGUAAGUUUUAAAAGAAGACCUGGCAACUUAAUGAGUCUUUCCAAGAAUAUUUUUACGAAAAAUUAAUAUCAACUACAUUAAACGUCGACAAAAUUGAGUUACUCGAGCAUAUAAAUGAUGGCAUUCAAAACUAUAAUCUACGUACUCAAGCCCGUAUGCAACGUUUUAAAAAUACAACGGAACUACCUGAUACUUUCAAAAGCAUACAAUUGAAACCAGAUUACACUCACAAGAAAAAUCAUAACAAGCAGAAUAUCGAGCCUUCAGCCAACGCAAAUAGUCGUCAAAUGGUCGUCAAAUGCUUCAACUGUAACUCCAAAGGACAUAUGGCCCCUGAAUGUCGCAAGCCCAAAAGAACACCUGGAGCGUGUUUCGUUUGUAACGAAAUGGGCCACAUUUCAAUAAACUGUAGCAAACGCAACGACUUGGAACUACGAGAAAACCAACCAGUAUAAACACUAAUUGACCCUGGAAGCUCUGUCAGUUUAAUAUGUGAGGAGAAUGUACCCAAGAAACUUAUUGAAGACUAUUCUUUUGUUCAAAAUUAUUACGGAAUAAAUAAAAGUAAACUUAUAAUCAUUGGA